GAGGGUAUAGCUCAGUGGUAGAGCACAUGCUUAGCAUGCACGAGGUCCUGGGUUCAAUCCCCAGUGCCUCCA
rfam:Camelus ferus unplaced genomic scaffold scaffold1533, whole genome shotgun sequence.